UACAGAGGGUGCGAGCGUUAAUCGGAAUUACUGGGCGUAAAGCGCACGUAGUCGGCUUUGCAAGUCGGGUGUGAAAUCCCCGGGCUCAACCUGGGAACUGCAUCCGAGACUGCAUUGCUAGAGUAUGGGAGAGGGAAGCGGAAUUUCUGGUGUAGCGGUGAAAUGCGUAGAUAUCUGGAGGAACACCGGUGGCGAAGGCGGCGUUCUGGACUGCAUCUGACACUGAAAGACGAAAGCCAGGGGAGCAAACGGG
rnacentral:rRNA from 1 species